AUCCAGCUGACGAGUCCCGAAUAAAACGAAACGCGCGUCAAACUGGAU
rnacentral:hammerhead_ribozyme from 1 species